GGAACAAGCACUGCCCUUGGUCACCCAUCUCUUGAACCUCACUUCUGGUGGGAGGACCUGCACCCUGAGACUGUCGGAAUCAUACAUUAGAUGUGCCCCCGGCUCUGGGGUGGGCAGCACCGAGAAGCAGAUAACUCUAGCUUGUAUCUUAACAAAAGAAGAAGAAGAAAAAGAGGAGGAGGAGAAGAAGAAAAAGGAGAAGACCCAACACAGCAGAUAGACAUAAGGGUAUCCUGUACCACUGACUCUGACUUCACAGCAUGGUGACCAACAAACACAGGUCGUGUCUUCUUUCUGAUACUAUGGGACUUUCCUGGAGGCACAGCUUGGGAGCAACUUUCCUGAGCACUCCUUGCGUUUUGAGUGGUGCAUUCUCCAGCACCGCAGGAAAGUAAUGAAACUUUGAGGACAGGAGCCUAUAAGAGGUUUCCAGGUCACCGGGGAUGGGCCCUUCAGAGAGCCUGUGGAAUCAUGGUUUCUUCCUUUUUGUCUUUCACCUUGGUUACACAUGAGUGGGGAUGAAAGGCGCUUCAGCUGAGCUGGUAACACCCCAACUCCUUCCUGACACUCUGCAUGGUGACUUCCUUGCCAGGAAUAUUGUGGGAGACACGCACCGGAUCCGCUUACCCUCUACCCUGGGCACUGUGACUCUUCCCUCUGGAAUUUUCUCCCAGGGCUUGCUUGGCUCCUCAUAAAUACCCACUCGCCCUCCCAGAUCCAGCUCUUAACCACAGUGUCCCCAUAGACACCUGGCCUCCAUCCAGGAAGUGCAAUCUUCAGCCCCCUACUGCGUCACACCCGCUGGGUUCUGAGCCUCAUCCAGUUCACCCUGCCACCCGAGGCCCAUCGGAGGCGUUCCUCCACCCAUCUCCCCCAGCAUUGCCCCAGACUCAGCUCACCUAUGCUCUUUUUCAUUUAUUACAGUUACUAUCUGUUUAUCAUUUAUUAAAUAUUCUGCUUAUUUAAUCACCCUACAAGGUUAUAGAAGGCCAUCUGCAGGCAUGUAUAUACUGUGCUUUGACCAUAUCAUCUACCCUCUCUCCU